AUUAAAAGUACUAAUAGCAUUUCUGUAGAGACUGCAGGCUUUCAUCAAAGAUUGGAUAUUAAACAAACACAUCACAAAUAGUUUCAGCCCCCACGUGCUUUACCAACCAAGCAAAUUCACUGAGACUGCCCUGUAAUGAAAUCUAAUCAUACAUUGCUGGUUUCCAAAAGCGUUUUUAAAUUUCUCCUUCUUAGGGCACCCAGCCUAGAAGGCCAUGAACAGCCUGCUUUUCACGUGCAGUCUAUGGGAAUGACAACAGGAAUACAUGAUGCGGCAAGACAUGUCACCAAGCUCACAGAAAUCAGCAGACUUCAGACCAGAUCACUUAGCAUGCCACCAAUAAUGGGCUGCAUUGCUAUGAUAAAGGCAUCUAAGUUUUAUAUUGACCCCAACAUGAGCACAGAAAAGAGUAAGAGGGAGAUAAAGGUGUACACAGAAGAUUUUCACACUUGGCACAUUUGA
rnacentral:lncRNA from 1 species